UUAUAAAGUUUUAUUUUAGCUUGUAUUUUUAAUUUAUGGAUUAUUUUAUAUGUAAAUUUUUGUGAUUAUUAAAUAUAUUUAAGUUAAGUAUAUUAUAUUUUAUAGCAAUAUUGAAGAUUGAAAAUAAAAGAAAUUUUGAUUUAGGAAUUCAUAGUAGUAUUAACUAAAUUUGUGCCAGCAGUUGCGGUUACACAAAUAAUGCAAUUAAAUAUUUUUAGUAAGUAAUUAAUUUAUUUUGUUUUAGUUUUAGGUUAAAUUUAUUAGGUGAAAUUAUUAAUUUUGAUUUAAGCUAUAAAUUAUAAAAUGAGGUUAUGAAAUUUUUUUUAUAGACUAGGAUUAGAUACCCUAUUAUUGAAAAUUUAAAUUAUUAUACUAGAUUAGUAGUAGUUAUGUUCUUGAAAUUCAAAAAAUCUGGCGGUAUUUUAGUCUAUUCAGAGGAACCUGUCCUAUAAUUGAUAGUCCACGAUUAAUUUUACUUAUUUUAAUGGUUUGUAUAUCGUCGUAGUUUGAAUGUUUUAAAAGAAUAAUGAAUGUUCAUGAUUUAUAAUAAUAAAAGAAAUCAGAUCAAGAUACAGCGUAUAAAUAAGUAGAGAUGGGUUACAAUAAAUUUAUUUAAAUGGUUAUUUUAAUUAACAUUAUUAUAUAAAGUGGAUUUGAUAGUAAUAUAAUUAAGUUUAAUUAUAUGAUUUUAGCUCUAAAAUAUGCACAUAUCGCCCGUCGCUCCCACUUUAAGGUGGGAUAAGUCGUAACAGAGUAGGCGUACUGGAAAGUGUGCCUAGUCAGG
rnacentral:ncRNA from 1 species